rnacentral:misc_RNA from 1 species
UUUAGAUCACACAAAUGAGAAGGUAGUCGAGGCUGCACUAGCAGCAAUAUCUACUUUGUUGGAUGAUGGUGUUGAUAUCGAACAAGGAGUGAUGGUGUUGUGUGAAGCAGAGGGGAUUAAACCCAUACUUGAUGUGUUACUUGAGAAAAGGACAGAGAAUCUGAGGAGGAGGGCGGUUUGGGCUGUUGAGAGGCUUUUACGAACUGAUGACAUAGCAUAUGAAGUUUCUGGAGAUCCAAAUUUGAGCACUGCACUUGUUGACGCCUUCCAGCAUGCUGACUAUCGAACCCGACAGAUUGCUGAGCGUGCCCUGAAACAUGUUGAUAAGAUACCUAAUUUCUCCGGUGUCUUUGCAAACAUGGGAUAGGCCUCUUCCAGUUGAGCUGUGCACAAGUUGAUUAUUGCAAGGACAUGUAUGUAAUUCAUCCCUCGUCCUGAACGGUUCUGAGGUGGCUAUGGUUUGCAAAAUAGGUAGAUAUUGUUGUAAACAGAUUUUGUUCAUUUGUUUUCAAUGAUGCUCUUUCCUUUUGCCUUGUUUCUUUA